UACAGGGGGUGCAAACGUUGCUCGGAAUCAUUGGGCGUAAAGCGCACGUAGGCGGUUUGUUAUGUCGGAUGUGAAAGCCCUUGGCUCAACUGAGGAAGUGCAUCCGAAACUGGCAAGCUAGAGUACUAAAGAGGGUCGCGGAAUUCCCGGUGUAGAGGUGAAAUUCGUAGAUAUCGGGAGGAACACCGGUGGCGAAGGCGGCGACCUGGGUAGAUACGUGACGCUGAGGUGCGAAAGCGUGGGGAGCAACAGG
rnacentral:rRNA from 1 species